rnacentral:lncRNA from 1 species
AACUUAAAAAAAAUGGCUUAUUUUGGAAGCUGUUGUGAGAAUAAGCUGAAAUCAAAGGAAAAAGCUGAAGCUGCAAUUUGUAGCUUUGGAAAACUUGCUUUUUUUCAAAGCACACAGAACUACAGUGCUCCUUUAAUGAAAAGAUCCACUAUCAAAUUGCUUUUUUUUUCAAAAGCACCUUUACAAAAAAGUUUACCAAACACUCUGCUGAUUUAUUUCACAGCCGCUUAUUCUCACAGCACAGCCGCUUAUUCUCACAGCAGUUUUUUUUCAAAGCACAGCAAUACCAAACCAGCCCUUAAACUCGAGGAAAACUAACCUUGUUUUGCAGCCUUAGUCUACCAAGUCGAAGACCAUCCCUGAUUCCAUAAAUGUCAACGUUGAUUUCAUAAGGCUCCUCAUCAACUAGUUUCAUUGCUUAUGUGCAAGCAUUAAUCCCUGCACAAACAGACGAAUAACGAAUUAUCAGCAAUGUGAACAUGUAUAUCAAUAUCUCAUUUCGGCUUCUGUACUCCAUUACAAUU